ensembl:lncRNA
GGUAGUGAGGUAGAAAGAUUAAUAGGUAGUGAGUUUAAUAAAUAGUGAGGUAGCGAGUUUAAUAGAUAGUUAUGUAGCGAGUUUAAUGGGUAGUGAGGUAGCGAGUUUAAUAGAUAGUGAGGUAGUGAGUUUAAUUGAUAUUGAGGUAGCGAGUUUAAUAGAUAGUUAGGUAGCGAAUUUAAUAAUUAGUGAGGUAGCGAGUUUAAUAUGUAGUGAGGUAGCGAGUUUAAUAAUUAGUUAGGUAGCGAGUUUAAUAGGUAUUGAGGUAGUGACUAAUGUUAGUCUAUUUACUGUUUACACAGUGGAUUGACAACUUUCCUGUGAUUCAGCUGCCUCAUGCCUUCACUGAAAUUGUACCAAAUAUGUUGUGUCAUAAUUUGUUAUAUCUCUCCAUUGGUUCAUUUUCUGAUACGUCUUUGAUUGCUGUUUCUGUAGACCAUUGAUUGAUUAACCGUCCAGUAAUUAUGCCAGUGUGGCUGUGAGAAAGAUUCUAGGUCAACUGGUAACUCUAAAUGCAGAGGUAAGAAAACCAUGAUCCAAAACACAGGUAUAGAAUCACUGUGAUCUAAAACCUUUUACUUUAAGGUCAUGUGAAAAGUCUUCCCUCUUUUAGAGCCUGCCUGACCUCUUGAUGGUGUAUGAUCACCCACUGAAGAUGGUUCAGGAUC